rnacentral:lncRNA from 1 species
GAACAUCACAAGAACUUACAAGACCAAGUGCUUGCGGCAUUUGCGAGUUUUCGCUCACUCAUGUUCGAGGGAAACAUGCUUGCGUGCAUGGGGAGGAUGGAUGCGUUUGACCUUAAGAAGCACCCAAAAUCCUAAAAUUGUAGAUCGCCUGUCGUCACACGCAUGCCACGCUGAAAAUGUCUGUUAUUUAAUUAGUGAGAGGCAAGUAGGUCGGACUCGGGGGUCAGUUUCAGAGGAAUUGAGGGAAGGGGGUGGGGCCAUGAGACCAUGUGCCUUAUUAGCACCAUUGUCAAAAAUGGACGUUUCCCAAUUCCAGGCAAAACACGAGGCGUUCCCAGUGUGACUUCGAUCACGCAGCCACGGCAGCCAGGUCUAACAACGGGCUUGUGAGGUGCCUCGGACUACAAGGUUGCACGGUUUCAACAUCUGCGAAGUAGUUAGUGGUUUGCGCCUGCCAUUCUAGUCUUCACGGAUGUUCAUUGUGGCUUUCCAGGUUACUUGGAUAGGGACUCGGUGAUAUGCCCGCAUGCAGGUUUGGGCAGGGAACAUCACAAGAACUUACAAGACCAAGUGCUUGCGGCAUUUGCGAGUUUUCGCUCACUCAUGUUCGAGGGAAACAUGCUUGCGUGCAUGGGGAGGAUGGAUGCGUUUGACCUUAAGAAGCACGCCAUGCCACGCGUGAAAAUGUCUGUUGUUUAGAUUAGUGAGAGGCAAGUAGGUCGGACUCGGGGGUCAGUUUCAGAGGAAUUGAGGGAAGGGGGUUGGGCCAUGAGACCAUGUGCCUAAUUAGCACCAUUGUCAAAAAUGGACGUUUUCCAAUUCCAGGCAAAACACGAGGCGUUCCCAGUGUGACUUCGAUCACGCAGCCACGGCAGCCAGGUCUAACAACGGGCUUGUGAGGUGCCUCGGACUACAAGGUUGCACGGUUUCAACAUCUGCGAAGUAGUUAGUGGUUUGCGCCUGCCAUUCUAGUCUUCACAGAUGUUCAUUGUGGCUUUCCAGGUUACUUGGAUAGGGACUCGGUGAUAUGCCCGCAUGCAGGUUUGGGCAGGGAACAUCACAAGAACUUACAAGACCAAGUGCUUGCGGCAUUUGCGAGUUUUCGCUCACUCAUGUUCGAGGGAAAAUUGCUUGCGUGCAUGGGGAGGAUGGAUGCGUUUGACCUUAAGAAGCACCCAAAAUCCUAAAAUUGUGAUCGCUGUAGAACACGCCACACGGUGAAAAUGUCUGUUGUUUAGAUUAGUGAGAGGCAAGUAGGUCGGACUCGGGGGUCAGUUUCAGAGGAAUUGAGGGAAGGGGGUUGGGCCAUGAGACCAUGUGCCUAAUUAGCACCAUUGUCAAAAAUGGACGUUUUCCAAUUCCAGGUAAAACACGAGGCGUUCCCAGUGUGACUUCGAUCACGCAGCCACGGCAGCCAGGUAUAACAACGGGCUUGUGAGGUGCCUCGGACUACAAGGUUGCACGGUUUCAACAUCUGCGAAGUAGUUAGUGGUUUGCGCCUGCCAUUCUAGUCUUCACGGAUGUUCAUUGUGGCUUUCCAGGUUACUUGGAUAGGGACUCGGUGAUAUGCCCGCAUGCGGGUUUGGGCAGGGAACAUCACAAGAACUUACAAGACCAAGUGCUUGCGGCAUUUGCGAGUUUUCGCUCACUCAUGUUCGAGGGAAACAUGCUUGCGUGCAUGGGGAGGAUGGAUGCGUUUGACCUUAAGAAGCACCCAAAAUCCUAAAAUUGUAGAUCGCCUGUCGUCACACGCCAUGCCACGUGUGAAAAUGUCUGUUGUUUAGCUUAGUGAGAGGCAAGUAGGUCGGACUCGGGGGUCAGUUUCAGAGCAAUUGAGGGAAGGGCGUUGGGCCAUGAGACCAUGUGCCUAAUUAGCACCAUUGUCAAAAAUGGACGUUUUCCAAUUCCAGGUAAAACACGAGGCGUUCCCAGUGUGACUUCGAUCACGCAGCCACGGCAGCCAGGUAUAACAACGGGCUUGUGAGGUGCCUCGGACUACAAGUUGCACGGUUUCAACAUCUGCGAAGUAGUUAGUGGUUUGCGCCUGCCAUUCUAGUCUUCACAGAUGUUCAUUGUGGCUUUCCAGGUUACUUGGAUAGGGACUCGGUGAUAUGCCCGCAUGCGGGUUUGGGCAGGGAACAUCACAAGAACUUACAAGACCAAGUGCUUGCGGCAUUUGCGAGUUUUCGCUCACUCAUGUUCGAGGGAAAAUUGCUUGCGUGCAUGGGGAGGAUGGAUGCGUUUGACCUUAAGAAGCACCCAAAAUCCUAAAAUUGUAGAUCGCCUGUCGUCACACGCCAUGCCACGUGUGAAAAUGUCUGUUGUUUAGCUUAGUGAGAGGCAAGUAGGUCGGACUCGGGGGUCAGUUUCAGAGCAAUUGAGGGAAGGGCG